rnacentral:rRNA from 1 species
UACGAGGGGUGCAAGCGUUGCUCGGAAUUAUUGGGCGUAAAGGGUAGGUAGGUGGUCUCAUUUGUCUGGGGUGAAAGCCUUGAGCUUAACUCAAGAAGUGCCCCGGAAACGGUGAGACUAGAGUCUUGGAGAGGGUCGUGGAAUUCCCGGUGUAGCGGUGAAAUGUGUAGAGAUCGGGAGGAACACCGGUGGCGAAGGCGGGUCUCUGGGCAUCUCCUGACGCUGAGGCGCGAAAGCGUGGGGAGCAAACGGG